CCCUCUUCCCAGCACACCUGUAUUCUCACCUCCUCAACAAAGCCCUGUAAACAGGAUGAGAAAAGAGCCACCUCUGUCCCCUAGGUGCUGUUACAUACCACAUGUCAGAGGAAAAAUGGAGUACUUGACCAUCCACCUCUUCAGAGCUCAGAUGGGAGCUGUCAUCAAGAUAUCACGGCCUGAAUGAGACUACCAACCCCUUCAGGAACACUCGGGAGUCCCAUCUCAUCUGAGAAAGGGAGGACCUGCAUUUGAUGGCCCACCCCCCUCCCUCGUCUCAUCGAUGGCCAUCUUGCAUACACAGUGAGACGCCUCCUGAGUGUUCGACCUCGGGGCAGGGGUUUCCAGUAUCUGGUUGACUGGGAGGGUUAUGGCCCGGAGGAGAGGUGCUGGGUACCCGCUAAGGACAUCCUGGACUCGGCCCUCAUCCCUGACUUUCACCGCCAGCAUCCCGGUCAACCAGGUAUGCGCCCGGGUAGGAUGCCAGGUGCCGCCCCUAGAGGGAAGGAGUGGUACUGUCACACGUUGAUCUGUUUUACCUGUCUUGUGCUUGUCUCCACUCCCCACUAGGUGUCUUCAAUUUGUUCCCAUUAUCCCCUGUGUAUCUACCAGCGUGUUUUUCCAUACUCGUGUUUUUCUAGUCCCUGUUUUCUAGUCCUCCCGGUUCCAACAUUUUCUGCCUGCCCUGACCCUGAGCCCGCCUGCCAUACCAUUCUGCCUUCCCUGACCUUGAGCCCGCCUGCCGUCCUGUACCCAUCUGACUCUGACCUGGUUUACGAACUUCCGCCUGUCCUCAUCCUGCCUCUUGCCUGCCCCUUGUCUAUUAAUAAA